AACAGCGGAGGGAUCAUUACCGAGUUUACACUCAUAACCCUUUGUGAACAUUAUAACUUGUUGCUUCGGCGGCUUCUGCCCUUCGGGGCGUUGCCCGCCGGCGUUUCAGUAUCUCUGUUUGUACCCGACGAUACAUCUGAGUGUUCUUAGCGAACUAUAAAAACUUUUAACAACGGAUCUCUUGGUUCUAGCAUCGAUGAAGAACGCAGCGAGACGCGAUAUGUAAUGUGAAUUGCAGAAUUCAGUGAAUCAUCGAAUCUUUGAACGCACAUUGCGCCUUCCAGUAUUCUGGGAGGCAUGCCUGUCCGAGCGUCGUUUCAACCCUCAAGCCCUCGUGGUUUGGUGUUGGAGUCCUACAGUCUUGUAGUCUCCCAAAACCAGUGGCGGACCCGUCGCGGCCCUUCCUUUGCGUAGUAGCAUUCGCCUCGCAUCGGGAGCCCACGGGACUUUCUGGCCUCUAAACCCCCCACAAGUCCGCUCCGGCGGCACAAGGUUGACCUCGGAUCAGGUAGGAAUACCCGCUGAACUUAAGCAUAUCAAUAAGCGGAGGAA
rnacentral:rRNA from 1 species